CAACGGGUGAGUAAUACAUCGGAACGUGCCCAGUCUGGGGGAUAACUACUCGAAAGAGUAGCUAAUACCGCAUACGAUCUGAGGAUGAAAGCGGGGGACCUUCGGGCCUCGCGCGAUUGGAGCGGCCGAUGGCAGAUUAGGUAGUUGGAGGGAUAAAAGCUUACCAAGCCGACGAUCUGUAGCUGGUCUGAGAGGACGACCAGCCACACUGGGACUGAGACACGGCCCAGACUCCUACGGGAGGCAGCAGUC
rnacentral:rRNA from 1 species